GGGGAAGCAGAGGGGACGAUGAGGUGCGGAGGCGUUGGCAGUUGACUUUUGCUGAUGGAGCCUCUCUGAAGGGCAAAUUCAAAGUACAGCUGGGUGCUGCAGCACUGGAGUGCGAACUUGUGGCUGUGGUUAUGAAGGAGCCUCGUCAGCUAUGCCUUUAGCCCCUGGUGAAGCAGUGCCAGUCACACUUUGCCAGUCAAACGGAGAGGCAGCAGUAGUAAGACCAGACCAAAUCAAACCAAACCAAGCAAACCACGGGGAAUGGAGGUCAUGUGAGCACACAGCAUAAAGGCAGCUGCCCACAAGCCAGGAAGAGAAGCAUCAUCAGAAACCGACCAUACUGGCUUCCUGAUCUCAGACUUUCAGCCUCCAGAAUGAUUAUUGCCUGCUCCUCCAAGCCCUUCACUGUAGAAUGGAAGCCUGUGAUUUUCCUGGCAUCAUGCAUGACUGAGAAGGUCAGUGUGGCUAAUUCUGAGCUUCAACAUCAGGAAACCCGUAGUUCUUCACACUGAGCCGCCUCCUGCAGCACAGUCAUCCUUGGUAAUAAAGCUGAUA
rnacentral:lncRNA from 1 species